rnacentral:tRNA from 1 species
CAUUAAGUGGCUGAAAACUAAGCAUUGGUCUCUUAAACCAAAUUAUAGUAAUUAUAAAUACUCUUAAUGG